AGAAAAUACCUUAAAUUUACAUAUUUCAAAAGUUUUUACCUUCACUAUGUUGUUUGAUUUUCCUAUAAGCCUGUGAAGUGGGGAGGGCAGAUGUCUUGUUUCCAUUUUUCAGAUGGGGAUAUGCACCAGAGAGGCUGUGUAACUGGUCCGUGGGCACACAGCUUGUUCAAGUAGGGUUUACAUAGGAUUGAGCAAACUGAGCAAAGUGACCAAUAAGCACAAUGCACAAGGUUGGUGGUGUCUGUAACAGCUCCACAAAUAAGAAGCUGGGUGUGCCAGUUCCCCGUCUCUCACCUGUAAAAUGGAAAGAAAUAAUAGCUACCUGAUCUACUACAAAGGUUUAUGGAAAAUAAACAAUAUUUUGAAGGCCCAAGGAGACCUGCCCAGAGCCCAGAAUGAAUUGUAGAUGGACUUAAGAUUGGACAGCCCAUCCCAACUUACAGGUGAGUUCUCAGUCUUUUUGUAGCUUAAAACUUUAGAAAUAUUCAGAUUAUCUCAAAAAGUGACCUUGAGUUUCAAGAUUC
rnacentral:lncRNA from 1 species